GCAGAGUGCCAAGAGGAUGACUCACAAGGCAAAAGCAGGAUGCGACCUUUCGACCUGGCGUUUUAUAUGUUGGAAUGCCUCUGGGUUGUGGUUGUUGGUCGCGGUGUUGUCUUUCUUUGUUUUUCGUUUUGUUUCGUUUUUCUUCUUUUUUUAAAAGACGGAGUCUCGCCCUCUCGCCCAGGCUGGAGUUCAAUGGCCGGAUCUCGGCUCACCGCAACCUCCACCCCUCGGGUUCCGGUAAUUCUCCUGCCCCAGCCUCCCAAGUCGCUGCGGUUACAGGCGUCUGCCACCACGCCCGGCUAAUUUUUUUUUAACUUUUGUAUGUGACCUCCGCAAGGGUGCCUGUCGCUCAGCUCUCUGUGGCUUCCUAAGUCGUGGUGACCUGAUGACGUUCACCGUUUUCUUCCCCGAGCUCGGCGGGGAAACAGAAACUCCCAGGGAUCCGUGGAAAAGCAGCAGCGUGUCGCUGCCCUUUCUAUCCAGGUUGCCGAGACUCCCCGUGUGGCAGGAAACAGGAAUGCCUCGUCAGGCCGUCUCUGCCCGGGAGAGUUUCUGUCUCCGUGCCUUCGCUCUCGUUUUCUAGAGGAACACGAACCGGAUCCACGCAGCUGCGUGUGUGAGAGUGUCGCGGCCACGGCGACACCCACAGACGUGGACGCCUUGACGGAGAGGGGGGGCUUGGAAAACUCAGGCCUGUCACGGGGGUUCGCUUCUGCACGCCACCCUCCCUGGUGACGUGUUCGAGCCCGGAGAGAGGCUUCCAGUUUCCGUAGAAUUCCUGGAGAACCCCAGAGGUCCAGCCCCCGAAGCCCCGCGUGUCCCUCCCCCGCCGCUCAGGCCCCACCCCCGACCACCCCACAGGGCCCUGGUGUCCCUGUGGUUUCCGGCUUGAGAGGGCGGGCUACCCCGCCCUGGGUCCCCGGAGCUCAUGCAAAUUCAGGAAGGGGUGGGGCCGCUAGGUCUCUAUAAAAGCGGCCCCUGGCUGGCGGGGCCGGACUCCUGGCUUGACCUGCCUGCAGGUGCGGUGCACAGCAGAGGUUGGCUGAGGCGCGCGGGAGCCGCCGGGCCUCUGUGUGCCUGUGUCUGUCUGUGACACUCGGCCCGGUCUCCCCGCGAUGGCUCUCCCCACAGCUCCCGGCAGCCCUCUCCCGGCGGAGGCCCGAGGGCGAGGAAGGCGAAAGAGGCUCGUUUGGACUCCGAGCCAGAGGGACGCCCUGCGAGCGUCCUUUGAGCGGAACCCGUACCCGGGCAUGGCCACCAGAGAACAGCUGGCCCAGGCCAUCGGCGUUCCGGAGCCCAGGGUCCAGAUUUGGUUUCAGAACGAGAGAUCGCGCCGGCUGAGGCAGCACCGGCGGGAAUCCAGGCCCUGGCCUGGGCCACGCGGCCCGCCAGAAGGCCGGCGAAAGCGGACGGCCGUGACCCAGUCCCAGACCGCCGUGCUCCUCCGGGCCUUCGAGCGAGAGCGCUUUCCGGACUUCGCCACCAGGGAGGAACUGGCCAGAGAGACGGGCCUCCCGGAGUCCAGGAUUCAGAUUUGGUUUCAGAAUCGAAGGGCCAGGCAUCCAGGCCGGGCUGGCAGGGGACCCGCGGCCGCAGGCGGCCCGCGCGACACGGCCCCCGGCGGGCGCGGCUCCUCUGCUCGCUCCUGGGUCGCCUCCACCCACACCGGGGCGUGGGGGGCGGCGCUUCCCGCACCCCAAGUGCCCUGCGCGCCUGGGGCCCUCCCACAGGGGCCCGUCGUGAGCCAGGCAGCAGGGGCCGUGCCCCUGCUCCUGCACGGACAGGCCCCACAGGCAGAAGGAAUCUCGCAACCUGACCCGGCGCUCGGGGCCCUCGGGGCUUUCGGGUUCGCCGCCCUGGCUCCUUCGGGGGUGGCGCUCCCCCAGCCUCAGAGCCUUCCGGGGCCUCCGCACCCGGGCAGAUGCCACGAGGAGCGGGAGCCGCAGCACGCCGGCCUGCCGGGGACGUGCUCCGUGGGACAGCUUGGGCCCGCUCAAGCCGACUCACAGGGGCGAGGUGUGCAGGGUCCCUGGUGGGGCUGGGGCCAGGGGCCCCAGGUGGCCGGGGCGGCAGGGGAACCCCAAGCCGCGCCACCUCCACCUCCGCAGCCCGCACCCCCGGAGGCCUCCGCCUGGCAGGGGCAGAUGCCAGCCCUGCAGGCGCCUUCCCAAGCGCUCCAGGAGCCGGAGGAGCGCUCGUCUGCGCUCACCUCCAGCCUGCUGGACGAGCUCCUGUCGACCCCAGAGUUUCAGCAGCAGGCACGACCUUUCCUAGAGACGGAGCCACUGGGGGAGCUGAAGGAGGUGGAAGAGCUCGCUUCCCUGGAGCCACCCCUCAGCGAGGAAGAAUACCGGGCUCUGCUGGAGGAGCUUUAAAAGCGGCGUGUCUUGGCGUCUCGCCCUCCCGCUGACCUGUCUGGGAUCCCUGAGUGCCAGGUCCGUCCGUCCGGACCAACGGAGGGACCCCACAGCCUUAAAGCAUUUCGGGAGCUCAAUGCGAUGCGUGCCAGUCCUCGUUUCACCCACGGGGUUCACAGACGGCAUAUCCCCACGGCGAACCCUGCAACGGAGCGCGAGGCAGUCUCAUCCCCACAGGGGUCACCCUCGGGCCGAUUGAAGCGUGAUUUCCGACUUCAGCCUGUGAUCGGCUGGGUGUGCGCGUGCGCGCGUGUGCAUGGAUUUGAGGCUCCUGCGGCCUGUCUUGCCGUUUCGCUGACCUGCCUGGGAGCCCUCAGUUCUAGGUCCGUCCGGUGAGAGACAGCACACAGGGCGGGGCUGUGCUGUCAUUCUCUCCCCAGCAUCUAGGGAACCCCAGAACCCGCCCAGGGCCCGGGAGCUGGGCGGUCUAGUGCGCGUGCGCGGGUCUGCAGGCAGCCCGCGGCCGCUUCUGGGGACCAGCGCAGGCAGAGCUGUCGGCCCUCCUCGCAGCCCUGCCCCCACGCCACCCGGCCUACUUCAGGAGGGUGGGCGGAGGGAGCGUUUCGCCCCCCCCCCCCCCGAAACACCGGGCCGGGUCCCCAGGCAGGCCGGCUCUCCAUUCCGCUGCACCCCUCUUCUGCCUCCCCGAUUCGCCCACCGAUCACUCGCACACCGGUGCCCCGCCAGCUUCCCCGCCAUCACCGAGUAGCGCCUGGCAGCUCAAUAUAGACCCGAGACCACUCCUCCCACGGCCCCGCUACGAACGACCCCGCGGGCAAACGGAAGGGCUGCUUUCUCCAGGCCGGAGGGAAGGCGGGUAGAGAAGCGGGGAGGAUCCCAGGCCGCGAGGGAGGGACGAGGGAAGGGAGGGAAGGACGCAA